rnacentral:tRNA from 1 species
AGUCUUGUAGCUCAAUGGUAGAGCGUCCGACUACCUGUGCGGAAGGUCACAGGUUCUACUCCAGUUGGUAAAACUU